rnacentral:rRNA from 1 species
CAGCCGCCGCGGGAACACCAGCACCUCGAGUGGUCAGGAGGUUUAUUGGGCCUAAAGCAUCCGUAGCCGGUUGCAUAAGUUUUCGGUUAAAUCUAUGCGCUUAACGUAUAGGCCGCCGAAAAUACUGUGCAGCUAGGGAGUGGGAGAGGUACACGGUACUCGAUAGGAAGGGGUAAAAUCCUUUGAUCUAUUGAUGACCACCUGUGGCGAAGGCGGUGUACCAGAACACGUUCGACGGUGAGGGAUGAAAGCUGGGGGAGCAAACCGGAUUAGAUACCCCCGUAGUCCCUGUCUCUUAUAC